AUGCACUUUGCUGCUAAAUGGCCACGUUGACCGCAGUUAAAGCAUUUCGGCUGGAAGUUAGUGUUAUGAACUGAUCGUUUAUCUUUUAUGAUUGCUCGAAGGUCGGAAGCAUUUUGAUGAUGUGCAGAUCUUCCGGCGUUUGGUAGCGGCCCGCUCUGGCUUCAUUCUGUGUAAAGGAAUUAUUUAUAAUAUUAGGCAAUUUCUUUAAAAGCAAAGUAGGUUACAUUUUAUUUAUUAUAAACAUUAAUAGUUGGUUGCAAUAAUUAGUCGACCUAGUAUAUUAGCUAUUUGCAAAAUAAGCUAUAUCGCGGCUCGUGUCUAAUUAGGUAACUGUGACGCUGUUCAAUUGCUUUUGUAUGAAAAUAUUUUUCAAUUCAUUCAAUAAACAGUUUUAGAUGGGGAA